ACGGAGGUGGCACCGAUCGAUGCUUCCGGCCAAAGAGGUAAGCUUCCCUUCCUCUUUUCUUUGUUAUUUCUUUAAAAAAACCAAAAAAUGCAAAAGAGAAAAAAUAAAAAUAAAACUAUAGGAACCCGAUUCACCUUAAGAAAAAAAACUUUGUAUUCUCUGUUUUACUUUCGAUUUCUUUGUCUAUUUCUCUGUUCUCCGUCCCCC
rnacentral:lncRNA from 1 species